AUUGAACGCUGGCGGCAGGCCUAACACAUGCAAGUCGAACGAGUGGCGGACGGGUGAGUAAUGUCUGGGAAACUGCCUGAUGGAGGGGGAUAACUACUGGAAACGGUAGCUAAUACCGCAUACCAUGGGAUGUGCCCAGAUGGGAUUAGCUAGUAGGUGGGGUAAAGGCUCACCUAGGCGACGCUCCCUAGCUGGUCUGAGAGGAUGACCAGCCACACUGGAACUGAGACACGGCCCAGACUCCUACGGGAGGCAGCAGUGGGGAAUAUUGCACAAUGGGCGCAAGCCUGAUGCAGCCAUGCCGCGUGUAUGAAGAAGGCCUUCGGGUUGUAAAGCACUUUCAUCGGGGAGGCGUUACCCACAGAAGAAGCACCGGCUAACUCCGUGCCAGCAGCCGCGGUAAUAC
rnacentral:rRNA from 1 species